GCGGCCGCGGCCUCUCUCGGCCUCAGCUGCCGCCAUCUUCCAGCGGCGGCGUUACCGGCCGCUUCCAUCCGUUGCCAUCCGUUGCUCGCGCCGCCUCUUGCCCGCCGGGACCGAGCGCCGCGUCUCCGCCCCGCCAUGAGAGCCAAGUGGCGCAAGAAGCGAAUGCGCAGGCUGAAGCGCAAGAGGAGGAAGAUGAGGCAAAGGUCCAAGUAGCCGCCGCCGGGGCGCGACGACACCGACGCGGCCGCCGCCGAUGGGACGUUCCCGGUGCCGCCGGGUCGGGGCGAGAUCCGCGCGCCGCGCCGGUUGCGUGCGCUCUGUGCCGCGAAUAAAGCUGGUUGUUACUGGGA